GUACUCGCAUUGACAGCACACAUGUUAAAAUUAGAACAAUAGAAGAUUAUUAACUCUGUCCUUGUACAAAGAAUACAUGCAAAUUUGUGAAGUGUUCCUUAUUUCC
rnacentral:snRNA from 1 species